rnacentral:snoRNA from 1 species
GUGCCUCAGGGAUGAAUCGGUCCCUGAUAUUUAAUCCCAUUAGCUUCACUUUGUCAGCGAUGCUCUCUUUGUCUUCUCUGAUCAUUCAGAAUGGGAAAAUC